rnacentral:rRNA from 1 species
AACGCGAAGAACCUUACCUGGGCUUGAAGUGCACCGGACCAUCCUUGGAAACAGGGACUUCCCGCAAGGGACUGGUGUAGAGGUGCUGCAUGGCUGUCGUCAGCUCGUGCCGUGAGGUGUUGGGUUAAGUCCCGCAACGAGCGCAACCCUUACUCGUAGUUGCCACCCGCAAGGGGGAACUCUACGAGGACUGCUCCGGAUAACGGAGAGGAAGGUGGGGAUGAGGUCAAGUCAGCAUGGCCUUUAUGUCCAGGGCUACACACGUGUUACAAUGCGCGCUACAAAGCGUCGCGAACCCGCGAGGGGGAGCUAAUCGCAAAAAAGCGCGCUCAGUUCGGAUUGCAGUCUGCAACUCGACUGCAUGAAGCCGGAAUCGCUAGUAAUGGCGCAUCAGAACGGCGCCGUGAAUACGUUCCCGGGCCUUGUA